UUAAGCGACUAAGCGUACACGGUGGAUGCCCUGGCAGUCAGAGGCGAUGAAGGACGUGCUAAUCUGCGAAAAGCGUCGGUAAGGUGAUAUGAACCGUUAUAACCGGCGAUGUCCGAAUGGGGAAACCCAGUGCAAUUCGUUGCACUAUCGUUAACUGAAUACAUAGGUUAACGAGGCGAACCGGGGGAACUGAAACAUCUAAGUACCCCGAGGAAAAGAAAUCAACCGAGAUUCCCCCAGUAGCGGCGAGCGAACGGGGAGCAGCCCAGAGUCUGAAUCAGCUUGUGUGUUAGUGGAACGGUCUGGAAAGUCCGACGGUACAGGGUGAUAGUCCCGUACACCAAAAUGCACAGGCUGUGAACUCGAAGAGUAGGGCGGGACACGUGGUAUCCUGUCUGAAUAUGGGGGGACCAUCCUCCAAGGCUAAAUACUCCUGACUGACCGAUAGUGAACCAGUACCGUGAGGGAAAGGCGAAAAGAACCCCGGCGAGGGGAGUGAAAAAGAACCUGAAACCGUGUACGUACAAGCAGUGGGAGCACCUUCGGGUGUGACUGCGUACCUUUUGUAUAAUGGGUCAGCGACUUAUAUUCUGUAGCAAGGUUAACCGUAUAGGGGAGCCGCAGGGAAACCGAGUCUUAACUGGGCGUUAAGUUGCAGGGUAUAGACCCGAAACCCGGUGAUCUAGCCAUGGGCAGGUUGAAGGUUGGGUAACACUAACUGGAGGACCGAACCGACUAAUGUUGAAAAAUUAGCGGAUGACUUGUGGCUGGGGGUGAAAGGCCAAUCAAACCGGGAGAUAGCUGGUUCUCCCCGAAAGCUAUUUAGGUAGCGCCUCGUGAACUCAUCUUCGGGGGUAGAGCACUGUUUCGGCUAGGGGGUCAUCCCGACUUACCAACCCGAUGCAAACUACGAAUACCGAAGAAUGUUAUCACGGGAGACACACGGCGGGUGCUAACGUCCGUCGUGAAGAGGGAAACAACCCAGACCGCCAGCUAAGGUCCCAAAGUCAUGGUUAAGUGGGAAACGAUGUGGGAAGGCACAGACAGCCAGGAUGUUGGCUUAGAAGCAGCCAUCAUUUAAAGAAAGCGUAAUAGCUCACUGGUCGAGUCGGCCUGCGCGGAAGAUGUAACGGGGCUAAACCAUGCACCGAAGCUGCGGCAGCGACACUAUGUGUUGUUGGGUAGGGGAGCGUUCUGUAAGCCUGCGAAGGUGACCUGUGAGGGUUGCUGGAGGUAUCAGAAGUGCGAAUGCUGACAUAAGUAACGAUAAAGCGGGUGAAAAGCCCGCUCGCCGGAAGACCAAGGGUUCCUGUCCAACGUUAAUCGGGGCAGGGUGAGUCGACCCCUAAGGCGAGGCCGAAAGGCGUAGUCGAUGGGAAACAGGUUAAUAUUCCUGUACUUGGUGUUACUGCGAAGGGGGGACGGAGAAGGCUAUGUUAGCCGGGCGACGGUUGUCCCGGUUUAAGCAUGUAGGCUGAUUGUCCAGGCAAAUCCGGAUAAUCAAGGCUGAGGUGUGAUGACGAGGCACUACGGUGCUGAAGUAACAAAUGCCCUGCUUCCAGGAAAAGCCUCUAAGCAUCAGGUAACAUCAAAUCGUACCCCAAACCGACACAGGUGGUCAGGUAGAGAAUACCAAGGCGCUUGAGAGAACUCGGGUGAAGGAACUAGGCAAAAUGGUGCCGUAACUUCGGGAGAAGGCACGCUGGUGUGUAGGUGAAGUCCCUGCGGAUGGAGCUGAGACCAGUCGAAGAUACCAGCUGGCUGCAACUGUUUAUUAAAAACACAGCACUGUGCAAACACGAAAGUGGACGUAUACGGUGUGACGCCUGCCCGGUGCCGGAAGGUUAAUUGAUGGGGUUAUCCGUAAGGAGAAGCUCUUGAUCGAAGCCCCGGUAAACGGCGGCCGUAACUAUAACGGUCCUAAGGUAGCGAAAUUCCUUGUCGGGU
rnacentral:rRNA from 1 species